rnacentral:rRNA from 1 species
UACGUAGGGGGCUAGCGUUGUCCGGAAUCAUUGGGCGUAAAGCGCGUGUAGGCGGCCCGGUAAGUCCGCUGUGAAAGUCGGGGGCUCAACCCUCGAAAGCCGGUGGAUACUGUCGGGCUCGAGUGCGGAAGAGGCGAGUGGAAUUCCUGGUGUAGCGGUGAAAUGCGUAGAUAUCAGGAGGAACACCGGCGGUGUAGACGGCUUUCUGGACCGUAGCUGACGCUGAGACACGAAAGCGUGGGUAGCAAACAGG